AUACGGAGGGUGCAAGCGUUAAUCGGAAUUACUGGGCGUAAAGCGUACGUAGGCGGUUUAUUAAGUCAGAUGUGAAAGCCCCGGGCUUAACCUGGGAACUGCAUUUGAAACUAGUAGACUAGAGUAUGGUAGAGGGGGGUAGAAUUCCUAGUGUAGCGGUGAAAUGCGUAGAUAUUAGGAGGAAUACCAGUGGCGAAGGCGGCCCCCUGGACCAAUACUGACGCUGAGGUGCGAAAGCGUGGGGAGCGAACAGGAUUAGAAACCCCAGUAGUCC
rnacentral:rRNA from 1 species